rnacentral:rRNA from 1 species
AAUAGAUACCCGGGUAGUCCACGCCGUAAACGAUGAGUGCUAAGUGUUAGGGGGUUUCCGCCCCUUAGUGCUGCAGCUAACGCAUUAAGCACUCCGCCUGGGGAGUACGGUCGCAAGACUGAAACUCAAAGGAAUUGACGGGGGCCCGCACAAGCGGUGGAGCAUGUGGUUUAAUUCGAAGCAACGCGAAGAACCUUACCAGGUCUUGACAUCCCAUUGACCACUAUGGAGACAUAGUUUUCCCUUCGGGGACAACGGUGACAGGUGGUGCAUGGUUGUCGUCAGCUCGUGUCGUGAGAUGUUGGGUUAAGUCCCGCAACGAGCGCAACCCUUGUUCUUAGUUGCCAUCAUUUAGUUGGGCACUCUAAGGAGACUGCCGGUGACAAACCGGAGGAAGGUGGGGAUGACGUCAAAUCAUCAUGCCCCUUAUGACCUGGGCUACACACGUGCUACAAUGGACGGUACGAACGGUUGCCAACCCGCGAGGGGGGAGCUAAUCCGAUAAAACCGUUCUCAGUUCGGAUUGUAGGCUGCAACUCGCCUACAUGAAGCC